rnacentral:rRNA from 1 species
AUGCAAGUCGAACGCAGUAGCAAUACUGAGUGGCAAACGGGUGAGUAUAAUGUGGGAAUCUGCCUUUUGGUUCAGAAUAACACGGGGAAACUUGUGCUAAUACUGGAUAAGCCUUUACAGGGGAAGUUUUAACGCCAAAAGAUGAGCCCGCACUUGAUUAGCUAGUUGGUAAGGUAAAAGCUUACCAAGGCAACGAUCAAUAGCUGUUCUUAGAGGAAGACCAGCCACAUUGGGACUGAGACACGGCCCAGACUCCUACGGGAGGCAGCAGUGGGGAAUCUUGCACAAUGGGGGAAACCCUGAUGCAGCGAUGCCGCGUGAGUGAAGAAGGCCUUUGGGUUGUAAAACUCUUUCGUCGGGGAAGAAAAUGACUGUACCCGAAUAAGAAGGUCCGGCUAACUUCGUGCCAGCAGCCGCGGUAAUACGAAGGGACCUAGCGUAGUUCGGAAUUACUGGGCUUAAAGAGCUCGUAGGUGGUUAAAAAGUUGAUGGUGAAAUCCCAAGGCUCAACCUUGGAACUGCCAUCAAAACUUUUUAGCUAGAGUGUGAUAGAGGUAAGUGGAAUUUCUAGUGUAGAGGUGAAAUUCGUAGAUAUUAGAAAGAACACCAAAUGCGAAGGCAACUUACUGGGUCACUACUGACACUGAGGAGCGAAAGCAUGGGUAGCGAAGAGGAUUAGAUACCCUCGUAGUCCAUGCCGUAAACGAUGAGUGCUAGACGUUGGAAAUAUAUUUUUCAGUGUCGCAGCGAAAGCAUUAAGCACUCCGCCUGGGGAGUACGACCGCAAGGUUAAAACUCAAAUGAAUUGACGGGGACCCGCACAAGCAGUGGAGCAUGUGGUUUAAUUCGAAGAUACGCGCAGAACCUUACCAACGCUUGACAUGUUCGUCGCGAAACUAAGAGAUUAGUUUCUUCAGUUCGGCUGGACGAAACACAGGUGCUGCAUGGCUGUCGUCAGCUCGUGUCGUGAGAUG